rnacentral:rRNA from 1 species
GACGAACGCUGGCGGCGUGCUUAACACAUGCAAGUCGAGCGGAAAGGCCCUGCUUUUGUGGGGUGCUCGAGUGGCGAACGGGUGAGUAACACGUGAGUAACCUGCCCUUGACUUUGGGAUAACUUCAGGAAACUGGGGCUAAUACCGGAUAGGAGCUCCUGCUGCAUGGUGGGGGUUGGAAAGUUUCGGCGGUUGGGGAUGGACUCGCGGCUUAUCAGCUUGUUGGUGGGGUAGUGGCUUACCAAGGCUUUGACGGGUAGCCGGCCUGAGAGGGUGACCGGCCACAUUGGGACUGAGAUACGGCCCAGACUCCUACGGGAGGCAGCAGUGGGGAAUAUUGCGCAAUGGGCGGAAGCCUGAUGCAGCAACGCCGCGUGCGGGAUGACGGCCUUCGGGUUGUAAACCGCUUUCGCCUGUGACGAAGCGUGAGUGACGGUAAUGGGUAAAGAAGCACCGGCUAACUACGUG